rnacentral:rRNA from 2 species
GGGUUGUGAGGUUAAGCGACUAAGCGUACACGGUGGAUGCCCUGGCAGUCAGAGGCGAUGAAGGGCGUGCUAAUCUGCGAUAAGCGCCGGUAAGGUGAUAUGAACCGUUAUAACCGGCGAUACCCGAAUGGGGAAACCCAGUGUGAUUCGUCACACUAUCAUUAACUGAAUCCAUAGGUUAAUGAGGCGAACCGGGGGAACUGAAACAUCUAAG